CAGACAACAAACAGACCAUCGUUUGCUCCCUCUCAUAUAGCCAAUCGCUUUUCCUCCCAUUGACUGACAGUUGCCCAUCGCCCAUCGUCCCUCUCAUCGACGGCAAUCACUGUCCCUCACUGUGGCCCACCGUCUUAUCGCCACGGUCGGUACACCACCUCGCCUCCUAUCGAUUUUGAUUCAGAUUUAGGGUUUUUUUUUAUUUUUUAUUUUUUUAUGCAGAGGCUUGAUCUGUUCUGCUGAGGAAUAAAUGUAUUGAUGGAGAUUUGAAGUAUUUUGCUGAUUGAUUACAGCAAACCUGAAUGUUUCGAGUGGAUUACAGAAUUGCGAGCCGUCACACCAUUUGAGUUUCAAGUGGAAUCACUGUCUUGGCCCAACAGAUGGUACAUUAGUGGCAACAGGGGGUGGAGAUGACAAAGGAUUUCUUUGGAAGAUUGGUCAAGGAGAUUGGGCUUUUGAGCUACAAGGUAUUAGUCACUGAUACAUAAUUGGCUAUCUAGAAGUUAUUAAAAUGCUUGGGUCACACCGACCAUCUUUCUAGAAGGCCUGCUAGGGAAGAUUGUCACAAAUCAUCCACUGACAAAUUUAUUAUUUUCAUUUUUUUACCUUAAUAAUCUCUCUUUUCUUUUUCUUUCUUCCUACAUUUUGUUACUUUGAAAUAGUUUUUUUUAUUUUAUUUGGGAAAUUUAUAAACUCCUAAACGUAUAGAAUGAUUCCUUGUUUCUGGUUAUUCAUGCAGUUCCUGUCAUAUGGGGUUUGGCAUCCUAUACUUUUGUCAUUAUUUUAGAUUCACAUCAACUGCUACAAGUCAUAGACUACUAAGAUUACAUGUCAUAGAUUUUUUGUUUCUUAUUUUUGAUCUUCUUUUUUGGAACUCAAAAUGCUGACAUUACAUUUCAAAACAGUAUUGUUUGAGAAAACUAUACGUAAACCCAUAAGGUUUAUUUCUUCCCAAAAAAAAAAGAAAAAAAGAAAAAAGAAAGUGAAGAGAGAGAUUUUUAUCCCUGGUUACAGCAUCUCUGAUGAUUUUCGUUAAACCUGACUUAGAAAUGAAUGGGUAAAUAUGGUUACCCCAUGGACAGCUCCAUUUCCCUACUUAUAAUGCUCUUGAAGGGCCAAAACCAAAGAUAAAGUGCUUACUCUGUUGCUUUUCAGAUAGUGCUACUAGUUAAACUUCUUAAAAAGUAUUUUAGUUGAAUGCCAUUUUUAGCACAUCAAAGUUAUUGUUAAUGGUUGUCCUAUUAUAAUUUAAGUGACAUGUUGUCUAAUCACAAAAUCAAUUUAAGCAGUAUUUGUCCCCUAGGGUUCCCAACAGUUUGGACGUAGUUCUCUUCCCAAUAAAGAGGAUAAAUUUGAGUCUCCUUAACUUACCUAUCAAAAGGAAAUUAUUUAGAAUGCGCAAGUCUUUUAUACUUUUUAGGUGUAGGAAAACAGAAUUUAUGGGUUCAUACUUAUUAUGGUGAUCUUGAGUUUCGGUCAAAUAAUUGACGACCUGCUACUUUAAUCAUUUAAUUACAUGUGUAGUUGUCCAACGUCAUCUUGGACUGCAAAUGAUUUUGUUUAGCUGUCUGCAUAUUUCAAUCCAGUAUGUCAUGAUUUUAUGGCUCCAAAAAAAAGUUCAUGAUUUUCUUUUUAAGAUGAUUUCUGUUUAGUCCAAUUUUUCUCUGCCUUCAAUCACUGUAGCAUAAAUUGGUCCAUGAUUCCUUAAUCCUUGUGCUUUAGUCGAAGCUUUUCAAAGACUUAAAAAUCUGUUUCUAGUUUAGCCUUUAGUACGGAUGGACAGUUGUUUGCAUGUGGAAGUUUUGAUGGACUUGUUCAAAUCUGGGACAUAAAUUCUGGGAAUCUCAAGUGUACGCUUGAUGGUCAUAAUGGGGGCAUUGAGGUGAGAUUUUAUGACUACUCAGUGUUUUUUGUCACAUAGUUAAUGUAUGAAGAUUGAGUAUGAACAAUCUGCCUACACAGUGGAUCAGGUGGCAUCCAAAAGGACAUUUGGUCUUGGCGGGUUCGGAGGAUUCUAUUGUUUGGAUGUGGAAUGCUGACAAAAGUGCCUAUCUUUAUAUGUUUUAAGGUCACGCUAGUAGAGUGACCUGUGGUGAUUUUACACCUAAUGGUACUUUCCUAGUUUUGGUCACAACAAAAUAGAAAUUGUGCUUAUAUAUGUAUAUUUAAGGAUUUUCAUUCAGAAACUAAAUUUUGGAGGAAUGCACUUGUUUCCUUUUAAAGAUUUGUGUUCUGUUUUGUCCUGUGCAGGUAGUACUUAACAUUCAAUUUUUGUGCUAAAUUCAUAAUAGUGUAAUUACAUGCUUGAUGUGCUGCAACAUAUCUUUUUGUGGAAAUUUGAAUGGUCGUGAUAUGAAAUGCUUGAAGUUAAUGGGGGAAGAUGGGCCUUAUACUCCCUAAUACCCAUGGUCAACACAUGAUCUGUUGACAAGGCAUAAUAUCUUGUUUCAAGAUACCUAUAAAGUUUAUGAUGGCUCCAGGGCCAACUCAAAUGAAUUGUGAGCAUGGCUUUCAUGCCUAAAAUGGAGUCCAUCAUGCUUGCAUGUUGGUGUGGUUGAAAAUGGCAUAAAAUAAAACGAAAAAAAAAAGAGGUGAAAUAGGAACUACAGAAAGAAAGCUUUAUGCAAGCAAAUUACUAAAGCAGGUACGAGUUAUAACCAGCAGAGACAUUCCGAUUGCCUCUUUGUCCGUUUUCUCACGGGUGUAUUCUACCUUUGCAAAGAUGCAACACAGUCGUAUGUGCAAAUUCUGAAUGUGAUCCAGAAAGCAAUUUUGGAUUUUGAGGUCUGCAAUUGUAGCUUCGAAGCAUGGCCACCUUAAAAUUUCAAGUCUUGAACUUCUAAUUAUUGAGCUCAUGAUAUUUCAGUUUAAGGUCUAAUUCUCGAUUUUUUAGGGUGUUAGUUGCAUCUGUUAAAGACCCAUCACCAGCAAUGACAGCAUCCAGUAGCAUUGAUUCAUGUCAAAAUUAUAUGUCAUUCAUAUCACACUGAAGGAUUGACAUGCUUAACAAUAACCUCUGAUUCAACUCUUGCUCUUACUGGUUCUAAGGACAUCCCUGUUCACAUUGUGAAUAUAACUACUGGGAAGGUAUGAAUUCUUGUUGCAUUUAGUACAUUUGUGCUUUUGUUUUCUCAUUCUCAUAGUUUUUUUUUUGUUUUUUUAUGUUUUUUUUGGGUUGGUGUGUGUGUGUGUGAAGACUUGAGACAAAUGACAUCGUUUGGCAUCUUAGGGCGUUUGCUUAUCUUGGUAUUUUGGGCAUUGCUACAUAAACCCAUAUUGCUCGUUUAGUUGGAAGAUCUCUCUCUUGGGUUUCUGGCUUAUAAGCCUCAUGAAUCAUAGAUGUUUGUGCAUACUAGCGCCUUGUUCAAUUAUAACGGCUAUUCCCUAGUUUUGCUCCCUAAUAGCCAGGGAUUAGAGGAUGCUGUGAGGGUGGGUAGAUGGGAAAAAUGCCUAGCCUUGGGUAUAAUAUGGUCUGAGAGUAACUCCAACCAUACUCUCUACUUUUUACUAGCUAAGGUAUAAAAAAAGUACACUCUUUAUUUUACCUAAUUUCUUUAGCUAUUGUGUUUUCCAACCACGCUCUUUAUUUUAGCUAAUCAUUUAAACUAACUUAAUUAAUUUUUAAAAUAAAAAAAUACUAAUUGUUGAUAUUUACUAAUAUAAAUUUG